CUGGUGGUCUAGUGGUUAGGAUUCGGC
rnacentral:piRNA from 7 species